UUCUUGGUGAUCUAGAGGUUAAGAUUCGGCGCUCUCACCGCCGUGGCGCGGGUUAGAUUCCAGUUAGGGAU